UACGUAGGCAGCAAGCGUUGUUCGGAGUUACUGGGCGUAAAGAGUGCGUAGGCGGUUUCCUAAGUUUGGUGUGAAAUCUCCCGGCUUAGCUGGGAGGGUGCGCCGAAGACUGGGGAGCUAGAGGAUGGGAAAGGCAAGCGGAAUUCCUGGUGUAGCGGUGAAAUGCGUAGAUAUCUGGAGGAACACCGGUGGCGAAGGCGGCGUUCUGGACUGCAACUGACACUGAUGAACGAAAGCCAGGGGAGCAAACGGG
rnacentral:rRNA from 1 species